rnacentral:rRNA from 1 species
UCGGUGGGGAUUAGUGGCGAACGGGUGAGUAACACGUGGGCGAUCUGCCCUUCACUCUGGGACAAGCCCUGGAAACGGGGUCUAAUACCGGAUACCACUACCGCAGGCAUCUGUGGUGGUUGAAAGCUCCGGCGGUGAAGGAUGAGCCCGCGGCCUAUCAGCUUGUUGGUGAGGUAAUGGCUCACCAAGGCGACGACGGGUAGCCGGCCUGAGAGGGCGACCGGCCACACUGGGACUGAGACACGGCCCAGACUCCUACGGGAGGCAGCAGUGGGGAAUAUUGCACAAUGGGCGAAAGCCUGAUGCAGCGACGCCGCGUGAGGGAUGACGGCCUUCGGGUUGUAAACCUCUUUCAGCAGGGAAGAAGCGAAAGUGACGGUACCUGCAGAAGAAGCGCCGGCUAACUACGUGCCAGCAGCCGCGGUAAUACGUAGGGCGCAAGCGUUGUCCGGAAUUAUUGGGCGUAAAGAGCUCGUAGGCGGCUUGUCACGUCGGGUGUGAAAGCCCGGGGCUUAACCCCGGGUCUGCAUUCGAUACGGGCUAGCUAGAGUGUGGUAGGGGAGAUCGGAAUUCCUGGUGUAGCGGUGAAAUGCGCAGAUAUCAGGAGGAACACCGGUGGCGAAGGCGGAUCUCUGGGCCAUUACUGACGCUGAGGAGCGAAAG